AGCAGCCGCGGUAAUUCCAGCUCCAAUAGCGUAUAUUAAAGUUGUUGCAGUUAAAAAGCUCGUAGUUGAAUUUCGGGGUCAGUAGAUUGGUCGUGCCACUGGUAUGUACUGGUCUUACUGGCUCCUCCUUCCUGAUGAACCGUAAUGCCAUUAAUUUGGUGUUGCGGGGAGACUGGACUGUUACUUUGAAAAAAUUAGAGUGUUUAAAGCAGGCUAACGCUUGAAUACAUUAGCAUGGAAUAAUGAAAUAGGACGUUCGAUCUUAUUUUGUUGGUUUCUAAGAUUGACGUAAUGAUUAAUAGGGAUAGUUGGGGGCAUUAGUAUUCAAUUGUCAGAGGUGAAAUUCUUGGAUUUAUUGAAGACUAACUACUGCGAAAGCAUUUGCCAAGGAUGUUUUCAUUAAUCAAGAACGAAAGUUAGGGGAUCGAAGACGAUCAGAUACCGUCGUAG
rnacentral:rRNA from 1 species